rnacentral:rRNA from 1 species
CGACACUAUCGUGAAUCAUCGAAUCUUUGAACGCAACUUGCACUCUAGGUUCUCCUAGAGUAUGCCUAUUUGAGUAUCGGUACACCCCCACUCAAUCCCCACCCCCUCUUCCGCGCGUGCGUGGUAGUGGUGUGGUGGUGGUUUGGAUCGGAUGAGUCGUGCGUGCGCAUGCGCGCGCGUGCGUGUGCAUUUUCCACACGCCGCCGCGCGCACACUGACUUUUAAGUGUACACUGAAUCGGGCCUAUGUAUACUGUACAUGCGGCGCUGACGUGAUAAUCUCACACGUUUGAGAACACAACUCGUCAGACACACAUGCCACGUGUCGGUCAUAGGGACCCAGUCACACACACACACACAUAUACACACAAAUCUCGAUCUCAAAUUAGGUAGGACUACCCGCUGAAUUUAAGCAUAUCAAUAAGCGGAGG